AGGCAAUCUAUCUUUUGCCUUUUUCAUAUCUCAUAUAGAGUACUCGUAACAAAUUUUUAUAAUAUCUAACAUAUGUAGCAAUUUUUAGAUUAUAUUCCUAGAAAGAGACAAUAAUAUUUUUGAAGUAUUUUAGAGAACACAUCAUAUCACAUAUGAAGUGUCCAUCUCUGAGUCGAGAUAUUAUUAGUCUUCAAACAUCCAUAUGUUCAAGAUCUAAUUCCUUGCUUGCCCUGAGAUAUGUGACCAUGACAUAUUUGUUUCUUAUUUUUAUCAACAUGAAAAAUAUUAUUGAGUGAUAGAAAUAUAAGACCAUAGCCAUAAAAUUUAUCAGAAGAAGAGUAACUUUUACUCUUAAUAUUAAUUUUAAAUCUAUGUUACAAUAACAUAGGGAUUGAAAUAAUAUUUUUGAUAACCAAUGGUCUACUUGUUUCUAAAUAAAUAGGUUCCUAUAGCUUUAGCAUGAAUGGACUAUCCAUCAGUACCAAAAGGCAAGUAGUCACCUCACUUCAGCUUUAUAGGUCCAGCAAAUACUUUGUAUAAGUAGAACAUACAAAAGGUAUCAUAUACCUAAAAUUUUAAAGUUGAAACACUCAAUGAUAAUUAUUAAUUUGCAUCACAUACAAACUAUUAGCAGAUGCAACUUUUGCGUCGUACUGUUGUUUCACGCUUGCAAGA
rnacentral:lncRNA from 1 species